rnacentral:tRNA from 1 species
GUAAAAUUAGUUUAUAAAAAAUGCUGAGUUGUGAUUUCAGAGAAAAAAUAUGAUUUUAUUUUACU